rnacentral:rRNA from 1 species
AUUGAACGCUGGCGGCAGGCCUAACACAUGCAAGUCGAACGAGUGGCGGACGGGUGAGUAAUGUCUGGGAAACUGCCUGAUGGAGGGGGAUAACUACUGGAAACGGUAGCUACUACCGCAUCCACUCGGAGGUGCCCAGAUGGGAUUAGCUAGUAGGUGGGGUAAAGGCUCACCUAGGCGACGAUCCCUAGCUGGUCUGAGAGGAUGACCAGCCACGCUGGAACUGAGACACGGUCCAGCCUCCUACGGGAGGCAGCAGUGGGGAAUAUUGCACAAUGGGCGCAAGCCUGAUGCAGCCAUGCCGCGUGUAUGAAGAAGGCCUUCAGGUUGUAAAGUACUUUCAGCGGGGAGGCGUUACCCGCAGAAGAAGCACCGGCUAACUCCGUGCCAGCCGCCGCGGUAAUAC